CUCUAUUAUGCCAUGAAAGAUGUCUAUUCUUAACAAGAUUCAAAAUGGACAUUAACAUACCUCUUCAGAAAUCGGAGAAACUUGUGAGGUGGUGAGAUUUUCCUCCAACUUGGAAGCUGUGUGGUCCUAGAGUACAUCCUCAUCAAUCAGUUAAGAAGUUCACAGAUGCCAAAAAAACACUAACACUUGCUAGAAUGAGCUUUCUUACCUCAGAAGCUGUUUUCUCUUCGUCAACGUUAGACUCAGAUUUUUUUGAACAUUUGUGAGCCCCAUUCUCAACCAACUGCAAUUACAUACACGCGACAUAAAGUUAUUAGCUGAAAUUAAAAAUAGAGAUGCAAGAAGAGAAUAGAGGUAAAAGAGAACAGUGGCAGGUCCAACCCUCAGAAUUUCAGGAUCUUUCCAUGGGCCCUUAUCCGAACGCAUACAUCCUCCUUCAUCAGCGCAUUUACAUUUACCUCCUAAAAACUCAGGCAAUUCACUGACAAAGAAAACACAAUGGAAAUUAAGUCUUAAAGAUGGACAAAGAAAUACGAGGAGCGUAAAAAUAAAGAAUCAAUUUCAGAUUAUUUGUCAAAUGAAGAAACCAGAUACUGAGAUAUUCAAUGCAUUUAUGAACUCACCUUUCGUCAAUUAUUUCAAGCAACUUACUAUCAUACUUGUUGCCAAGAACCUGAUCAUAUAUAAAUUAAUAUAAGUUUCAAUGACACAAUUUUCCAAACACAACAAGCAGAAUUAGGAUAAGGUCUAUAGGCUCACAUUGAUUUUUGCUGUGGUCUUGGGAUCAAGGAAGGAUUUUACAGUGUUCCACAGUAUUCUAAAUCCAGAACCUGCAUUGAUGAUGAACAUGCGAUUCAAGGUCUGCAGUGAAGCAACCAAUUUCAUAGUAUUACUCAGUAAUCCACGAUGUUUAUUCACAACAAAACUUUUCCCCCAUAAUUCUAACCAAAAGUAGAUAAAUAAUAAUACCUCUGGAUAGUUGUCACCAUCAACCUUCUGAAUGCGAGUAACAAGUUCCCUAGCAUGUUUGCUGAAGCUUUUAAGCCCCUGUGACAUUGAAACAAUAUUUAUCUCAAGUUGCAUAAAAAAUUUCAUGUUAAAUAUAAUUAACUAACUGUUAACUAUUUUUAUG
rnacentral:lncRNA from 1 species